rnacentral:lncRNA from 1 species
CUGGAGGUGAUCAAAGUCUACUCGGAGUGACCAGACAUAGGCGAGGUCUUCCCCUGAAUGGAUUUGUGAGAUUUACUCCUGACUUGGGACUUCCAGGGCAGUCACCUGGACGAAUUUCCAGCAUUUAACCGUGGACAGACACAAGUCCUCCUGCCAUUCGGGAAAACUGAAAAGCCUCCAUGUCACCUUUUGAGUGUCAAGGCAUCUUCCAUUGGCCACGAAAUGACAGAGAAGUCAUCCAUCUGCAGAAGCCUCCUGUGUGCACCGUGGAAUCACCGUGUCUGUACGGGCACGAAUGCUUUAAGAAAACAGCCCUGCUUCUUCACAAACUCUAGUCAUUUCACUUGGAAUCUGUCCAUCAAGAAAUUAGGUUUGCAGAGUCCAAAGCAAGCUCCCUAGAGCUUUACAAACAAGCUGGCGGGCAAGGCAGCGCGCCCUAUAGUGUCUCUGUGGAGCGCUAAGAUCUGUGACCCCUUUGCCACAUGGGGUGUGCGCUCAGACUGGGCUAUGAAUAUAUCAGCCUCUCUCCACCCGCACUUAGGGACAGAAGAUAUGGAGACUCCAGGAACUUCAUGAACUAUUUGCUGUGGUCUUCUGUCCCGGGAUAGUCCGGGUCUCACUCCCAGCUCUCCAGAGCUUAACCCUCCCUCUCAGGGGAAUGUUUGAAACCUACGAAGAAUUCUCAGGAAUUCGAGGUAGAAGGUGGCAGAGAGACUUCUGUUCCUGGGGGCCGAGCUGUUGUGCUGAUACCGUCCUCUUGGCGUCUGCCCUAGUGGGGACCCUUGAUUUUAACUUGAAGUUCCUGGACUGGGUCUAACCUUAGCAUGUGUGCCUGAGUGAUGGACUUGGUAUUUACACCAGCCACGCUGAUAAGUGCACAUGUGUUUUUAAUGUUUUGGCUUUCCACACCACAAACACACAGAUGUGCUGUCGCCCGGGCUAGGACUUGAGUAGGGUUUUUCUAUUUAAAUAUAUAUUAUAUAUUUAAAAAAGUGUCCUCCCAGAGCUAAUACCGUUGCUAGCAGCUCUUCCUGCCGCCACACCGGGCAAAGUCCACCCACUGCCCCAGUGUUGAGGGCCACCAUGGGCGGCCCCACCUGGAGAGGUGCUGCUCACAGCAAACAGCUCCAACUGCGCCUUCGCCUCGCCUUCCAGGGAGCCCAGCCAGGCCCACUGGGUAUUUACAAGCAGACCUCCCUCGCUUCAGCCUUCCUGAACCCCUGUUAGUUGGGAAACCACCUGUCUGCACCGCAGCUAGAGAACCGAGGAGAGGAGCCGCUAGUCUAAAGGGCUGUUGGUUGAAAUUAGGAAGCAGUGUAAAGAAAAAGAAAAAAAAAGUUUGGGAGGCCAAGGCAGGAGCAUCACCUGAGGUCAGGAGUUCGAGACCAGCCUGGCUAACAUGGUGAAACCCCGUCUCUACUAAAAAUACAAAAAAUUAGCGGGGGCAUGGUGGCACGCGGCUGUAAUCCCAGCUACUCGGGAGGCUGAGGCAGGAGAAUCGCUUGAACCCGGGAGGCGGAGGUUGCAGUCAGCGGAGAUAGCGCCAUUGCACUCCAGCUUAGGCAACAAGAGCGAAACUGUCUCAAAAAAAAAAAGUCUUCAUAAUUUCAUGGGUUUGCAAGUAUGAUCCAGGCUCCCCGCUUCUCUGCAAGCCAAUGCGAGUUAAUUACAGCGUCCGCCCUGGUCUCUCUCCACCCCACGCCGUGAUCCAUUCCCCUUCU